UCUCUCUCUCGUCUCUCAGUCUUGCCGCGUCGGAGUGGCGCCGUCCGGCCACCUAUGACGACAAGACCCCCACCAAUUCUCUUCCUCUCCCUCUUCUUUACAACGUCUAGCUUUCAAUUCACCCGUGCCCGAACUUUGGAAGGAGAUCGACGGGAAGAAGCACAGCGGCCCUCCGGCGAUUCUUGUCGACGUCGGCCAUGACUUGGCACCCGAACGGUAGGGUUCGUCUCCUCUAUCCUUCUUCCUUCUUUCUCUGCCUUUGACUCUUCAAAACGAGUUCAAAUUCACGAGCCCCUUUUUGUGUUUUUUAGGUUUUCGUCGAGGUUUUCCGGCGAGUUCGUUCUUGGAGCUCCGGCGGGACUACCGAGCUCCGGUGAGUCUAGAACCGGUUGAAUGGAGCCCAGACACGUCUUGGGAAGGGUUGGAGGAAGCGACGGUGGUAUUGAACCGAGGUAGAGGCUUUCUGCCAAAGGGAGGUCCCCUGUUCUUCUAUUGGUUCUCUGUUUUUGUCAAGACGGAGGCUUGGUGAGUUUGGCUUGUGAGGAACCGAAGUAAUCUGGAAUUGUUUCGGUGAAGGUGGCAGCUAAGGCAGCCGUUGGGAAUGUUUGGAGGUCUUUCAUGUGGAGUUUGGCAAGGAGGAGCUCUGGUUUGCGAAGUAGAGCAAAUUGAAGGUAAGUUGGUGUUUUCGGCUAAUGUUUUGAGUUGUAUUGAGGUUUGGGUGCUAGUUAGCUGAUUUGGAAUUAUGCUCGGUGUUUUUCGGAAAUGGUUAAUGACUGUUCUUGUUGUUGUGGUUGUUGCAUGUCGAGAACUUGGAGUUCUGAAGAAUACGGGGAGGCUAUGGCGAAAUUCCGGCAAGUCACCGGAAUCCGACUAGUAUUUCUGGCAAGUCGCCGGAAUUCCUAUCGAGAUUCCGGCGAGGCAGCUAUUCCGGUAGAACCCUUGAAGGUAGCUUGUCGACUUUUCUUUUCGUGUAAGUGGUAGUUUACGGUUUAGGAAAACCUGCCAUAUUUAGAAAGUUUCUUUUUAGGGAACUUUCCCCUUUAUGGAAACUUCCAUUCUUGGAAACCCUUUUGGGUGCCCUUAGUAAUUGUUGGUGUGAAGUUGGGUAGAAAAGAAAUGUUGGAAUUGUUGGUUCUGGUUGGCUUAAGCUAGGGGACCAUAAAAUAAUUUUUGUUAAUAUGAUUACUAUCCAUAGUAACCCUAAAAUCUAGACCAUUGGCUUCAUGGUGAUUUUGGAAGUGAAUUGCUUAGUGUGUUAAAGGCAUAGAGAUAGUGUGUGACUUCGAUUUCAGGUUAAGGUUUGGUUUGAAACCGAAUAAGUUUUGGAUGCGAAGUUAGUAGUAGAAAAUGAUUCUUUUAUCUAUUGGUCAACCUAAGAAAUAUUAGUCAAACCAGGAAGAAGUCGAUCCGUUAAUAUUGAUGGAGUCCGGUCUGACCAAUUUAUUCUUCUGUUUAUCGUCAGACGUGGGAUUGGCUAGAGUGUGUAAUUAGUUGGAGGCAGCGCUCGAGGAGUAUUCCGAGCAUUGGAAGGCUUAGGCCUAAUACUGUGAGUGGACCUUUGUUUUAAAUAAAAUGCAUGCUAUAGUUCAUAAAUGAACAAUUAUUGUUGUGGAGCAUUUUGACGUCAUUUUAUUUUGACGAUUUUAUUUCUCUUGGAGAGUUACCGAAAAUGGGAUUUUCGGUGAAUAUAAAUAUGUAUUUAUGAGGAGAGUAUGUAUAAAAAUGCUAGCUAGCCCUAUGUGUCUGUCCACCUUAAUGGCGUAGCAUAUAGCCGCAUUAUGGUGUGACGUGAGCGUUGGACGCGAGCGUAGUAGCCCUAUAUGAGUGUUUAAUUCAUAUAGGGGGUAUGGGCACAUAUUUAUACACCCGUCUGUCCACCUUAAUGGCGUAGUGUAGCACCGCAUUAAGGCGUGACGUGAGCGUUGGACGCGAGCGUAGUAGCCCUAUAUAGACCCAUGAAUUUAUAUAGGGAGUAUAGACGUGUGUAAAUACAU
rnacentral:lncRNA from 1 species